ACCUGGAUGGCUGAGUUGGUUAAGCAUCUGACUUUGAUUCACGUCACGAGCUCACAGUUCGUGGGUUCAAGCCCCGCGUCUGGGUC
rnacentral:tRNA from 1 species